rnacentral:lncRNA from 1 species
ACGAAUUUUAGAAUUUUCCUAUAUUAUAUUUGCAAUGGCUGUAAAAUAUGUCAGAUCAUGUUUACUCGUAAAAAUUAAUUGCAACCAUGUACCGGCUUGAAUAACAGACGCUGGGAAAUCCGUAAUAGUUUGGUUAAAUUUGGCGUUUCAAUAAAUUACCAAGCCGAGAAAAAAUUAUUGAAGUAAGUUUACAAAAACUACUGGACAUUGCUGGCCGUGAUAUCAAAGGAUAUCUGUUUAAGAUGCAGCUGCUUGUUGGUUAUACGUUUAAUCAAACCGCUGCCUUUGAAACUGCAUGGUGAAAGAGAAAAUUUGCUAUAUCAUCUAUAACAUCGAGAUUGGAACAGUCACCAAUAGCUUUCAACUAACAAGUUUUACUAAUAUGAUACUUUUUCUUCUACAGUUAACCGAUUGCUGUGGGAUAAAGGUCUUGAGGCGUUAUUCGAACCACAUUUAAUAAACGUUUAAAGACAAGGCAUCGCUGUAUUAGUGUUUAACACCAUACCCUGCCAACCACGGCUACCCACCUGUGA